UAGGGAAUCUUCGGCAAUGGGGGGAACCCUGACCGAGCAACGCCGCGUGAGUGAAGAAGGUUUUCGGAUCGUAAAGCUCUGUUGUUAAGGAAGAACGAGUGUGAGAAUGGAAAGUUCAUACUGUGACGGUACUUAACCAGAAAGGGACGGCUAACUACGUGCCAGCAGCCGCGGUAAUACGUAGGUCCCGAGCGUUGUCCGGAUUUAUUGGGCGUAAAGCGAGCGCAGGCGGUCAAUUAAGUCUGAUGUGAAAGCCCCCGGCUCAACCGGGGAGGGUCAUUGGAAACUGGUUGACUUGAGUGCAGAAGAGGAGAGUGGAAUUCCAGGUGUAGCGGUGAAAUGCGUAGAUAUAUGGAGGAACACCAGUGGCGAAGGCGACUCUCUGGUCUGUAACUGACGCUGAGGUUCGAAAGCGUGGGUAGCAAACAGG
rnacentral:rRNA from 1 species